CUGAAACUUUCCCCGCUGGGUGUUGGCGUGGUGCUCAGCUCCGAGAGCUCCCUGAGAUCUCUGUCUCUCUGCCUGUCUCUGUGGCUCUCUCUCCCCUGCCCUCACUGCGUACCCCACCUCCAGCUCUCCAUUCCCAGACCCGCCCGCUUGGCAUCCUGUUGUCUGCCAGAGAGCCCUGCCCCACAGCCUGCAUGGACCCCUCCUGCCUUUCAAGACUUACUCUGUCUUGCUGUACCCGCCGAGAGCCCCUGUUCUCCCCACCCCUACCCUGCAAGCGCCGUGUGGCAGAAGAAAGCCUGAAACCAGCCAAAAAGAAAAUAAAAUCCCUGGUGAGAGUGGCUGGGCCUCUUUUGCCUUCCCUCAGGCCUGCACGUGAUGGGAGUGGUGGCAGAGGAGAGGCUGGGGCGGCCAUGGGAGCAUGGAGGUCAGUCACCCUGGCCACAGCCAAAGGCAGGGGGAUCCCCGAGCCUGGGAGGUCUGAUAUCAUCGGCUGGCUGCCGCGUUUGCUUCCCAGGAGGGAGGAGCGCAGAUACUGACAGUGACAGAACCCUCUAUCUUGCUGGGAUUCUUUCCCUCCAGCCUUGAGCUCUGGAAGUGAGAGGCUGCUCACCGGCGCUCAGUGGUCUUGGAGCCUAAAAGUUCUCAAACAAGGACUUCACACAGCCCCUGGCAUUCUCUUCUCGACUUAUUUAGAACGGAACCAAAAAAGAAAAUUUUUAAAAUCUAUUUCAGAGUUUGUACUUCUGUGCCCAGCGUGACAGCGAUUCACUUCUGAAGGAUCAGAGGUCCGAUUGAAUCCUAGAAGGACCCACAGAACCUACAGAGCAGCCAGGUGAUGAUACAGAACUCAAGAGAGUGACAUUUCCUGGUGAUCUCGGGAAGUGAAGCGGUGGGGCAAUGAAUCAUCAGCCCCACCCUGCCACUCAGGAACGAGGAGGAGCUCGCAGCAGUCAACACAAAGGGCCCUUUGCUAGAGGAUAAACUGUGCCAUUAUUAUCUUUUGUGAGCACACAUGCAAUAGUUCCUUAGCAGUGAGCACCACAGUAAAUACGCAAGGAGUGAUGUUCCACUUCGUGCAUUAUUUCCUCCUUCCCAUUACUGCAUUGAGAAUGUGUUGUUAAAAUUUCUAGUCCACCAAACUGGAUUAUAAUUUUUUUAAAAAAGGAAAACAAUGAGAAUGAAUGUGGUAGUAGCACAAAUGAUGGCUUGUGGUGAUCAAAAGAUGACAACCUCAGACAUCACUCUACUACUGUUAUGCCCGAUAAAAUUGAUUUUAUGGUUCUGUUUGUGUUCACACUGAAGAUUUAUUUUAGUUUUAUGAUUGCUUGAUAAGCUAAGAGCAUGAGAAACUCAUGUGUAAUUUUAGAUUUAGACUUUCAGUAAAAACAAAAUAAAAAUAAUGUGA